rnacentral:rRNA from 1 species
AGAGCGAACGCUGGCGGCAGGCUUAACACAUGCAAGUCGAACGAGCGUAGCAAUACGCUAGUGGCAGACGGGUGAGUAACGCGUGGGAACGUGCCUUUUGGUUCGGAACAACCCAGGGAAACUUGGGCUAAUACCGGAUAAGCCCUUACGGGGAAAGAUUUAUCGCCAAAAGAUCGGCCCGCGUCUGAUUAGCUUGUUGGUGAGGUAAUGGCUCACCAAGGCGACGAUCAGUAGCUGGUCUGAGAGGAUGAUCAGCCACACUGGGACUGAGACACGGCCCAGACUCUACGGGAGGCAGCAGUGGGGGAUAUUGGACAAUGGGCGCAAGCCUGAUCCAGCCAUGCCGCGUGAGUGAUGAAGGCCCUAGGUGUAAAGCACUUUUGUGCGGGAAGAUAAUGACGGUACCGCGAAGAAUAAGCCCCGGACUAACGUUCGUGUACCAGCCAGCCGC